GAGCAGUGGUAUCGUACGGUUUCGUUGCACACACUGAACAAGAGACAAGGCGGCAAGGCACAGUCAUGGUGACCUUCACUGUUGCAUCGGCAGGUGUUCUGUUCCUUGCUGGCAUGGCUGUAAUCGCCAUAUUCGAAUACGGCACUCAAGAGGCUAUCACACGUUAUCAAGGGACCAGCGUAUGCAACUCACCAGCAUG